CCUGAUGCGAACUGCUAGAAAUGACGGUGGUUUGUGGUCGGCCAGUUAGGCGGGAACCGUUGCGACGAAGCGGAGUGGUGGAGUUGCCAGGAGGCGCAAACAAAGAAAGCAUUCAUGCGAUCUGUAAGUGCAACGAGGAAAGCGUGGCUGCUUCGAAUGAAAAAGUAUCUGAGAAGCCCGCAGAAAGUGACCACGCUUCCAGCAACCCAAUCCCUUGUCCUGACACACUACUUGAACUGAAGGCAAUUGAGGACAUGGUCACAGAUCCCUUU